rnacentral:lncRNA from 1 species
AUAAACAAAUAUUAAAAAAUUUCUGAAAAAAUAUUUAAAGAUCUUAUUCUUUCUGCAUAGGAGAUCCAUCAAUUUGCUGCAAAAAAUAGCGAGUAAUUUUCUACUACUAUAUGAGCUAUGUUCUAUAAUAUUCUGUCAAAAGAAUUGAAGAAGAAAUGCAUCCCGAUUAUUACAAAUAUAAAGACAAAUACGAAUCAAAUUAUAUUAAGAAUUCUAUUCUUGUACAAAUUGUGUUACCAAGCAUCGUACCAGGUGUUCAAUCAAUGUACUGGAAAACAAAGCGUAUUAUUUUUCCAUGCGAUAAGAGGAAUCCAAUAACAUUGUAAUCAUGAAACAUUUCGGAAGACAUCGGUGAAAUUGUUCUGUUCUCACAUUGGAAGGAAACCAUGUAUAAUUAUAUUCUAUAAAAA